AAAGUCGUAACAAGGUCUCCGUUGGUGAACCAGCGGAGGGAUCAUUGCCGGGUCGCAAGACUCCCAAACCAUCGCGAACAUACCGUGUCGUUGCCUCGGCGGGCGGCUCCAGGGCGGAGCCUCCAGCCCCCCGCGAGGGGGGUGCCCGCCGGCGGCCCAACAAACGCUUGUCGUCUCUAGGCACCUCUGAGGACGCCCGCGAGGGCACCGAAAACAAUCAAAACUUUCAACAAUGGAUCUCUUGGCUCUG
rnacentral:misc_RNA from 1 species